GUUAGCCACCUGGGGAGUACGUUCGCAAGAAUGAAACUCAAAGGAAUUGACGGGGGCCCGCACAAGCGGUGGAUUAUGUGGUUUAAUUCGAUGAUACGCGAGGAACCUUACCCAAGGCUUAAAUGGGAAAUGACAGGUUUAGAAAUAGACUUUUCUUCGGACAUUUUUCAAGGUGCUGCAUGGUUGUCGUCAGCUCGUGCCGUGAGGUGUUAGGUUAAGUCCUGCAACGAGCGCAACCCCUGUCACUAGUUGCCAUCAUUAAGUUGGGGACUCUAGUGAGACUGCCUACGCAAGUAGAGAGGAAGGUGGGGAUGACGUCAAAUCAUCACGGCCCUUACGCCUUGGGCCACACACGUAAUACAAUGGCCAGUACAGAGGGCAGCUACACAGCGAUGUGAUGCAAAUCUCGAAAGCUGGUCUCAGUUCGGAUUGGAGUCUGCAACUCGACUCUAUGAAG
rnacentral:rRNA from 1 species